UACGGGGGGAGCAAGCGUUGUUCGGAUUUACUGGGCGUAAAGGGCGCGUAGGCGGCGCAACAAGUCACUUGUGAAAUCUCCGGGCUUAACUCGGAGCGGCCAAGUGAUACUGUCGUGCUAGAGUGCGGAAGGGGCUACUGGAAUUCUCGGUGUAGCGGUGAAAUGCGUAGAUAUCGAGAGGAACACCUGCGGCGAAGGCGGGUUGCUGGGCUGAUACUGACGCUGAGGCGCGAAAGCCAGGGGAGCGAACGGG
rnacentral:rRNA from 1 species